AGAAUCAACGCUGGCGGCGUGCCUAACACAUGCAAGUCGAACGAGAAAGUGGAGCAAUCCAUUAGUAAAGUGGCGCACGGGUGAGUAACACGUGACUAACCUACCCUUGAGUGGGGGAUAACCUAGAGAAAUCUGGGCUAAUACCGCAUAAUACCUUCGGGUCAAAGGAGCAAUUCGCUUAAGGAGGGGUCGCGGCCGAUUAGUUAGUUGGCGGGGUAAUGGCCCACCAAGACUAUGAUCGGUAUCC
rnacentral:rRNA from 1 species